UACGUAGGCAGCAAGCGUUGUUCGGAGUUACUGGGCGUAAAGGGUGCGUAGGUGGCUCUAUAAGUAUGGUGUGAAAUCUCCCGGCUUAACUGGGAGGGUGCGCCGUAGACUGUGGGGCUAGAGUGUGGGAGAGGAAAGUGGAAUUCCUGGUGUAGCGGUGAAAUGCGUAGAUAUCGGGAGGAACACCUGUGGCGAAAGCGGCGCACUGGACCACAACUGACGCUGAGGCGCGAAAGCGUGGGGAGCAAACAGG
rnacentral:rRNA from 1 species